GCCAGACUCCUACGGGAGGCAGCAGUGGGGGAUAUUGCACAAUGGGGGAAACCCUGAUGCAGCGACGCCGCGUGAGUGAAGAAGUAUUUCGGUAUGUAAAGCUCUAUCAGCAGGGAAGAAAAAAGACGGUACCUGACUAAGAAGCCCCGGCUAACUACGUGCCAGCAGCCGCGGUAAUACGUAGGGGGCAAGCGUUAUCCGGAUUUACUGGGUGUAAAGGGAGCGUAGACGGCAAUACAAGUCGGAAGUGAAAUACCCGGGCUCAACCUGGGAACUGCUUUGGAAACUGUAUGGCUGGAGUGCUGGAGAGGUAAGCGGAAUUCCUAGUGUAGCGGUGAAAUGCGUAGAUAUUAGGAGGAACACCAGUGGCGAAGGCGGCUUACUGGACAGUAACUGACGUUGAGGCUCGAAAGCGUGGGGAGCAAACAGGAUUAGAUACCCCUGUA
rnacentral:rRNA from 1 species